UACAGAGGGGGCGAGCGUUGUUCGGAAUUACUGGGCGUAAAGGGCGCGUAGGCGGCCUGCUAUGUCGAACGUGAAAUCCCCGGGCUCAACCCGGGAACUGCGUCCGAAACUGGCAGGCUUGAAUCCGGGAGAGGGAUGUGGAAUUCCAGGUGUAGCGGUGAAAUGCGUAGAGAUGCGGAGGAACACCGAUGGCGAAGGCAAUCCCCUGGGCCUGCACUGACGCUCAUGCACGAAAGCGUGGGGAGCAAACAGG
rnacentral:rRNA from 1 species